rnacentral:rRNA from 1 species
UACGUAGGGAGCAAGCGUUGUUCGGAUUUACUGGGCGUAAAGGGCGCGUAGGCGGCGUGUCAAGUCGAUUGUGAAAUCUCCGGGCUUAACUCGGAACGGCCAAUCGAUACUGACGUGCUAGAGUGCAGAAAGGGCAAUCGGAAUUCUUGGUGUAGCGGUGAAAUGCGUAGAUAUCAAGAGGAACACCCGAGGCGAAGGCGGGUUGCUAGGCUGACACUGACGCUGAGUGCGCGAAAGCCAGGGGAGCAAACGGG